rnacentral:rRNA from 1 species
AGAGUUUGAUCAUGGCUCAGAUUGAACGCUGGCGGCAGGCCUAACACAUGCAAGUCGAGCGGUAGCACAGAGAGCUUGCUCUCGGGUGACGAGCGGCGGACGGGUGAGUAAUGUCUGGGAAACUGCCUGAUGGAGGGGGAUAACUACUGGAAACGGUAGCUAAUACCGCAUAAUGUCGCAAGACCAAAGUGGGGGACCUUCGGGCCUCAUGCCAUCAGAUGUGCCCAGAUGGGAUUAGCUAGUAGGUGGGGUAACGGCUCACCUAGGCGACGAUCCCUAGCUGGUCUGAGAGGAUGACCAGCCACACUGGAACUGAGACACGGUCCAGACUCCUACGGGAGGCAGCAGUGGGGAAUAUUGCACAAUGGGCGCAAGCCUGAUGCAGCCAUGCCGCGUGUGUGAAGAAGGCCUUCGGGUUGUAAAGCACUUUCAGCGGGGAGGAAGGCGAUAAGGUUAAUAACCUCAUCGAUUGACGUUACCCGCAGAAGAAGCACCGGCUAACUCCGUGCCAGCAGCCGCGGUAAUACGGAGGGUGCAAGCGUUAAUCGGAAUUACUGGGCGUAAAGCGCACGCAGGCGGUCUGUCAAGUCGGAUGUGAAAUCCCCGGGCUCAACCUGGGAACUGCAUUCGAAACUGGCAGGCUAGAGUCUUGUAGAGGGGGGUAGAAUUCCAGGUGUAGCGGUGAAAUGCGUAGAGAUCUGGAGGAAUACCGGUGGCGAAGGCGGCCCCCUGGACAAAGACUGACGCUCAGGUGCGAAAGCGUGGGGAGCAAACAGGAUUAGAUACCCUGGUAGUCCACGCCGUAAACGAUGUCGAUUUGGAGGUUGUGCCCUUGAGGCGUGGCUUCCGGAGCUAACGCGUUAAAUCGACCGCCUGGGGAGUACGGCCGCAAGGUUAAAACUCAAAUGAAUUGACGGGGGCCCGCACAAGCGGUGGAGCAUGUGGUUUAAUUCGAUGCAACGCGAAGAACCUUACCUGGUCUUGACAUCCACAGAACUUAGCAGAGAUGCUUUGGUGCCUUCGGGAACUGUGAGACAGGUGCUGCAUGGCUGUCGUCAGCUCGUGUUGUGAAAUGUUGGGUUAAGUCCCGCAACGAGCGCAACCCUUAUCCUUUGUUGCCAGCGGUCCGGCCGGGAACUCAAAGGAGACUGCCAGUGAUAAACUGGAGGAAGGUGGGGAUGACGUCAAGUCAUCAUGGCCCUUACGACCAGGGCUACACACGUGCUACAAUGGCAUAUACAAAGAGAAGCGACCUCGCGAGAGCAAGCGGACCUCAUAAAGUAUGUCGUAGUCCGGAUUGGAGUCUGCAACUCGACUCCAUGAAGUCGGAAUCGCUAGUAAUCGUAGAUCAGAAUGCUACGGUGAAUACGUUCCCGGGCCUUGUACACACCGCCCGUCACACCAUGGGAGUGGGUUGCAAAAGAAGUAGGUAGCUUAACCUUCGGGAGGGCGCUUACCACUUUGUGAUUCAUGACUGGGGUGAAGUCGUAACAAGGUAACCGUAGGGGAACCUGCGGUUGGAUCACCU